ensembl:lncRNA
AUUGAAACAAAACUACCGCUCCAAAACUUCUAUGGAAAAUCGCAUCUUCUUUUCUCUGAAGAAUUUACAUGGGGCUGAUUUUCCUGUUCUUGUUCUCAGUUAACAGCCUCAGUUUUGUUUUCCUCCAAGACAUUCCCUCUCCAGCCUUGGGAGUAACACCUCUGCUUGCACCCCAGCGCUCUGCCACUUGUAUCCACUGCUUUGCAAGUUGCUGGGGCCCUUUUAAAACACCUGAAGGUGCAGUGCCUUUUAAAAGCCAGGAACAAUGUAGCCAUCUGACCUCAUGGAUCUGCUUUCUAGGUGUCCUGAACCUGUGCAUGUUUGAUGUUUGUUUCUCCCUGUAGCUUUGUCUGAGCAACCUUCACAAGCUCCGUGAGAGGAACCGGACGUGGGGCAUCUAGCAGAAACUAGUCCAUGGGACUCACCUGGAUGCAAGCACAGACAUUCUUAGUACUAUCUCAGGUCAAGAACUGGAUUUCUGUGGGACUUCCGGUCCUUUCCUAAAGGAACCUCAGUGAAUCACUAUUUUCUCCUCUUUAAAAUAAAAAGAAGACCCCUUGCCCUCAAACAGCCGGUUGAGAAGACACGGACACUGCUUUGCUGUCUGUACGAAGCUCAUCAGAACUAGUUUAACCAUUUCCUGAGAGGUCAGCACUCACACAAGGCGACAUCAUUCUUCUUGUGAUUAAAUAAGGAAGGAUAAAAUGGCUUAAAGAGGCCAGUGAAUUUUUUGCCCUCCUACUCCUGAAACAGAGCUAGUCUCAGGAUUUGCUGCAGAAGUGACACUGGGGAGCUUCUGAGACUUGUAUGCACCGGAAUGUUCCCUCUUGGAACCCAGCCACCAGGCCAUGUUGUGAGAACACCAAGCCACAUGGAGGGGUCACAUGGAAGACAACCGGCGUGCUCCAGUGACAGCCCGGAUGAGCUUCCAUCUGACAGCCAGCAACAACUGGCAGCCGCAUUGAGUGACAGAGGAAACCAUCUUGGAUGUAGCCCCGUCCAGCCUACAGAUGACUGCAGCCCCAGAUCACACCACUGGAGCAAAAGACCUGCCCGGCUGUUGUUUUAACUUGCUAAAUUUGGAGGUCAUUUAUAGUAGGUAAUUGGAACAACUCCUUGUGAUAACAGUACAGGUUACACGCUGUUAUUAUCCUAUUUCACAGAUGGGAAAACUGAGGCACAGAGAGGCAAAGUGACUUACCAUGUUCCCAGUGCUGGUAGAGUCAGGUUUCGAACUCACAUCUGUCUGAUUCCAAAGCCCACGUCCCUAACCUCCAUCUUAUACUAUCUCAAAGAGCUUGUGAUUCACUGGAGAGCCACAAAAAGUAAAAUUAGAAGACUCAAGCACAUGCACAACCCUUCGUGGUGUCGUGGUACUCACUCAGGACCUGGGGAGUCUGUAUCAUCUCAGACCAGCCUGGAAGGAAAGAGAGAAAACAGUUUUUCCUAGUUAAAAAAAGAAACAUGGAGUUAACCCCCUCCAACUCUGAUCACACCAAACUUCCCCGCUACUCUAAGACAUUGGUGGAAAAACUGCGGCCGGGGAGCCAAAUCCCACCCACUGCCUGUGCUCUGGACUGAAUGGCUGCAUCCCCCCAAGUUCAAAUGCUGAAACCCUAACCCUGAUGUGAUGGUAUCAGGAGGCGGGGCCUUUGGGAGGUGCUCAGGGUUAGAUGAGAUCAGGAGGGUGGGGCUGUAUAAAAAGAGGAAGGGCUGUGAGCUCUCUCUCCCUGCCAAGGCAGCCGUCUGCAAACCAGGAAGGGAAUCCUCACUGGGACCCAAAUGGGCCAGCAUCUUGAUCUUGGACUUCCCAGCCAGCAGAACUGUGAAAAAUACAUAUUUGCUGUUUCAGCCCCCUAGUCUAUGGUAUUUUGUUAUAGCAGCCCAAACUAAGAC